rnacentral:rRNA from 1 species
UACGUAGGUGACAAGCGUUGUCCGGAUUUACUGGGCGUAAAGAGCGCGCAGGCGGUCGAUCAAGUCGAGUGUGAAAGCCCCCGGCUCAACUGGGGAGGGUCAUUCGAUACUGAUUGACUCGAAGGCAGGAGAGGGUAGUGGAAUUCCCGGUGUAGUGGUGAAAUGCGUAGAUAUCGGGAGGAACACCAGUGGCGAAGGCGGUUGCCUGGAGCUUUGCUGACGCUGAGGCGCGAAAGCGUGGGGAGCGAUCCGG